rnacentral:rRNA from 1 species
UUGGUGGCGACCGGCGCACGGGUGAGUAACGCGUAUGCAACCUACCUAUCAGAGGGGAAUAACCCGGCGAAAGUCGGACUAAUACCGCAUAAAACAGGGGCACCGCAUGGUGAUAUUUGUUAAAGAAAUUCGCUGAUAGAUGGGCAUGCGUUCCAUUAGGUAGUUGGUGAGGUAACGGCUCACCAAGCCGACGAUGGAUAGGGGAACUGAGAGGUUGGUCCCCCACACUGGUACUGAGACACGGACCAGACUCCUACGGGAGGCAGCAGUGAGGAAUAUUGGUCAAUGGGGCGGGAGCCUGAACCAGCCAAGUCCGCGUGAAGGAAGAAGGAUCUAUGGUUCGUAAACUUCUUUUGCAGGGGAAUAAAGUGCAGGACGUGUCCUGUUUUGUAUGUACCCUGAGAAUAAGGAUCGGCUAACUCCGUGCCAGCCGCCGC